AGUUUAUCAUCUGUUUGGACUGUCAUUCUGACGGCACCCAUUCACUGCAGAGGAACCAUUGACCUCACAUCCAUAAACAACAGUGUGCUGUGCAACAAAUUCAGGGUUUUUCAGCCAGGUUUGCAUUGGGAGGUUAACUUGGACGGCUCACAUGUGAAGUUGUGAAGGAGGUCAAGAUGACGGAAAUCAACAAUGUCAGAUCAUCUUGAGAAUCCGGUAGAGUCAGACCAACUGCAGAACGAGUCCUCGCCAGUUCUCUCAGCCACCCUCCCUUUCCUCGUUCUCAUUUCAUUGCCAGGUAGCUCAUGGCACGGCAUGAUGCUGUGUAAGCUCCAUCUGUUUGGCGCGCGGCUGGUGACAAACUGCGAGAGAGGAGGCCUAGUCAGUUGCUGUGGAUUGCAUUGCAGUGGAACCAAUCGGCACCUUCCCACAUGGCCCAAAGAGAAAGCCCCCCGGGAAACCCUUCAACACGGCCAGCCUACAACCCAGCACACAAUUUGUGCUCCGCCAAAUAUGAAGCCAACUUUCUACCAACCCUGACUUCACCCUUGAUCAGUACAAAACAAAAAAUGAGGGCAGCAGAAAAUGAAAUAAAAAUGAAGGAUUUGAGAGAUCAAAGCGUUAAAAGAGUAGUUCAGCCAAAAAUAAUAAUAAAAAAAAGUCUGGUAUUAUUUACUCAUGUUGUCCCAAAUUCAACUGCUGUUAUUCAUUUAUUUAUUUAUGGAACAUACACAUAUAUAUAUUAUUUUGACAAAAUUAAUAGAAGGACUCCUAUCACAGAAAGAUACAAAACAAAUUUUUGAACAUUUAUGUUUUUGGUUCCUCGCUGGAUUAACAACCUUCCCAUCCUUAUCCAGGCAGCCGAAUCCCUCACAAUAUUCAAGAAAUGACUAAAAACUAAUCUUUUUACUGAGGGAACUUAAAUGCAUCCCACUGAUGUUUACUCUUUGUUGUACUCCUCAUUUGUUAGUCAGUUUAGAUAAAAGUGCCUGCUAAAUGAAUAAAUAUGCAAUUAUGCUCUUUUACAUAGUCUUGAU